UAAAAGAUACUUUUGCAGCUCUUGGAGAUGCUUGAAUUUUCUUGCUUGAUUCCAAUCCUCCGGAAAAGGACAGCAUGGGUUGCAGGAAAAACAGCUUACCUUUAUAGAAGUACUGCAAUCAAAGCGAAAAGAUUUGGUUUGCCCAUUUUCAAGAUAUACUUUCAGAACAUUUGGCAUAAAAAGAAGUGAAUUAUCUUUAACUGUUUCCUGUUCAAAAAAUAAUAAUAGGGAGUGAACAAGGGCAAAAUCGAGGAGUUGAAAUCCAAAGAUACCAGAACUGAAAUGGCAU